GACGAACGCUGGCGGCGUGCUUAACACAUGCGAGUCGAACGGUGAAGCUCCAGCUUGCUGGAGUGGAUCAGUGGCGAACGGGUGAGUAACACGUGAGCAACCUGCCCCUGACUCUGGAAUAAGCGCUGGAAACGGCGUCUAAUACUGGAUACGAGAAGGGUCCGCAUGGGCACCUUCUGGAAAGUUUUUCGGUUGGGGAUGGGCUCGCGGCCUAUCAGCUUGUUGGUGAGGUAAUGGCUCACCAAGGCGACGACGGGUAGCCGGCCUGAGAGGGCGACCGGCCACACUGGGACUGAGACACGGCCCAGACUCCUACGGGAGGCAGCAGUGGGGAAUAUUGCACAAUGGGCGAAAGCCUGAUGCAGCGACGCCGCGUGAGGGAUGACGGCCUUCGGGUUGUAAACCUCUUUCAGCAGGGAAGAAGCGAAAGUGACGGUACCUGCAGAAGAAGCACCGGCUAACUACGUG
rnacentral:rRNA from 1 species